UCAGACGAUGCGUCAUGUAUAUCAAUAAGCGGAGGAAAAGAAACUAACAAGGAUUCCCCUAGUAACGGCGAGUGAAGCGGGAAGAGCUCAAAUUUGAAAUCUUAAAGGGUUUCCCUUUACGAAUUGUAGUUUAAAGAAGUGUUUUCUGUUGAGGUUUUGGUAAAAGUUCUUUGGAAUAGGACAUCAUAGAGGGUGAGAAUCCCGUAUUUGACCUUUACUUUCAACUUUGUGAUACACUUUCAAAGAGUCGGAUUGUUUGGGAAUGCAGUCCAAAAUGGGUGGUAAAUUUCAUCUAAAGCUAAAUAUUGGCGAGAGACCGAUAGCGAACAAGUACCGUGAGGGAAAGAUGAAAAGAACUUUGAAAAGAGAGUUAAACAGUACGUGAAAUUGUCAAAAGGGAAGCGUUUGACACCAGUGUUGUUUUUCUGAAAAUCAAUUAAAGAACUGUUUAUGCUAAGUUGUUUAGACUUUAUCAGCUAAUCUGUUUAGUUUUGAGCUUUUCUUUAAUGCACUUUUCAGUUAACAAGUCAACAUCAAUUUCUUUUGCUGUAAAAAAGCUUGAGGAAGGUGGCUUGAGAUUCGUCUUAAGUGUUUAUAGCCUCUUGCCUAUGCAGUCGGAGAGAUUGAGGUCUGCAGCGUAGAUCCUUCGGGGCUAAAUGCAUUUGUGCUAAGUUAUAGCAUUUUAUAGACAACUUGUUGACUACGAUUUGUCUUGUAGCUUACUCGCUUAUGUUAUUUUACCUACGCUUAGGAUGUUGACACACGCGCGUGCUC
rnacentral:rRNA from 1 species